rnacentral:tRNA from 1 species
GGGAGUAUAGCUCAGUGGUAGAGCACUUGCCUGCCACAUGUGAGGUCUUGGGUUUGGUCCCCAAUACCACCU